UACAGAGGUCCCAAGCGUUGUUCGGAUUCACUGGGCGUAAAGGGUGCGUAGGUGGUCAGGUAAGUCGGAUGUGAAAUCUCCGAGCUCAACUCGGAAACUGCAUUGGAAACUACCUGGCUCGAGGGUUGGAGGGGGGACUGGAAUGCUUGGUGUAGCAGUGAAAUGCGUAGAUAUCAAGCGGAACACCAGUGGCGAAGGCGAGUACCUGGACAACUCCUGACACUGAUGCACGAAAGCUAGGGGAGCAAACAGG
rnacentral:rRNA from 1 species